GUGAAGGCAAAAGAGCGAAGCGACGAUGUUGAGAGAAAACGGGAAAGAACAAAACACAUAAAAAAGAAAGGGGAAACAAGAAAAGAAACACAUAAACACAACUAGAGAGAAAAAAAAUUUAGGGGGAGAAGGAAACCGAGAAGGAGGGGAGAGUACAAGAGGCCGAACAUAGAGGGACCAAAAAGUAUGAUCGUCGUACCGGCGACGACGACGAAAUCGAAAGAGUUCAGUGAAGCUUUCAAUUGAUUAAAGCAGAUAAGAAAAUCAGAACGGAAAGAGCACCAAAUUUGAAAUUAGAGAGAAGAUGUAAUUUAUUCUUUAUAUUUUUCUAUGUUAAUUCGAAUUGAUUGAAGUUGAA